GCAGCGCCUCCCGUGCGGCGCCUGCGGCCCUCAUUCGCCGCCGUCGUCACAAGAGCAGGCCUCCGCUGAGGACCGGCAGCGCCCUAGCCGUCGAUCUCUGCCCUCCCUGUUUUGCGCCACCAUCAGCCCUCACCGUCGACCAGGUGCGCCCUCGCCGUUUGCCCGCCGUCGCCGCCUAGAUCCCACCGAGGUGCCACGAGCUACCCAGCGCAGCAGCGCCCCACCACGAGCCCAUCCAUAUGAGCUCGAGCUCCACUGCUGGCGGCACUAGCUGGGGCCACGCCCCCCUGCUGGACUGCCCCGAUUGCCAUGUUCCCCUGAUCCGGAUUAGAAAGCAAGCAGCAGAACACACUGAACGAGUGGUUCGUGAAGUGCCCAAAAAACAUUAAGGGUGAUCCAACCACUUGUGGGAGAAUCUGGCCUGAGAAACUGUAUGAGUCCUAUGUGCGUUCAGAGGCUCUAAAGCAGAAGAAUCAGAUUCAGGAAGAUGACAUUGGUGAUUUGAAGCAACAGAUGACUGAAGUGAGGCAAAGGCUGGACAGUGUUGCCAAUGAUGUUUUGGACAGUGUUGCCAAUGAUGUUUUGAAAUUGAAGAUGAAUGUUACUGCUCCAAAGCCAGAGUCGAGUAAUAGAAAAUUGCAUAUUGUGAUAGAUGUCUCUGUUCUUGUCGGUGUUCUUAUUGGUGUACUGCUAGGUGUAGUUGUUGCCCUUAUUGUUAGGUGACUGAAUCAGUAUGUAUGUAGGUAGUGUGCUGGAUGUUACUGCUCGAAGACUGGUGUAGUAGUAUGCAUGUGACUUGAGAAUGCAUUUGUUGCAUUGUCUUGUGACUUUGGCAAUUUCCUUGAAUUAUGGCUGAA